CCCCUUCUAGCAAGCCGGUGAACCUCUACAGGUUCUCAUGGAAACUUAGCCUGAAUCCUUGCUGUGAACAACAUCUACCAGAUCCUGCUAUGCACGUCAGGACCCCAGGGGCAGUCUAAGACUCUAAGGCUAAGGGAUGUCACGUGUUUUGAAGAAAGAGAUGCUGAAAGUUAUCUUAAACGAAAACCUCAGAGAAGACAAGCAGAGAAAGGCAGAUGUGCAGAGUGAACCACUUGCAGGGCCAAGAACAGGGAGCUGUGGUGCUGAUCCAAUGCUGUCGAAGUUAAGAGGAUGAAUUGGCUGGAGAUAGAAAGAUGCUAGCAGUGAUUGUUCAGGCCACAGAAAGCAGUCCUUAGCUUUAAAUGAUCAAUUUUCAAUAAUCUACCUUAUUGAAGUGGCACUGUGGUGUGGGUACACUUUAUUUAGAACAAUGAGAUUUGGAUAUAUGUGAACACGCUUUGUAAAAUAUAAAACAUUACAAAAACCUGAGACAUUUAUAGCCUCAGAAACAGUUUUCUUGAGAAGAAUCUGGACACUCAUUAAUUGACAAUGGGGGACUAUAGGUCACACAAGUCCUAAGUUAGAAAUCAGUACUUGAAUUAAAUUUUAUGUCGGUAAUUUACAAAAUAACUAAGUGACUAUGAAGUGAACUAUAAAAGUGUGGGGUGUUCAUUUUUG